AUGAACGCUAGCUACAGGCUUAACACAUGCAAGUCGAGGGGCAGCAUGGUCUUAGCUUGCUAAGGCCGAUGGCGACCGGCGCACGGGUGAGUAACACGUAUCCAACCUGCCGUCUACUCUUGGACAGCCUUCUGAAAGGAAGAUUAAUACAAGAUGGCAUCAUGAGUCCGCAUGUUCACAUGAUUAAAGGUAUUCCGGUAGACGAUGGGGAUGCGUUCCAUUAGAUAGUAGGCGGGGUAACGGCCCACCUAGUCUUCGAUGGAUAGGGGUUCUGAGAGGAAGGUCCCCCACAUUGGAACUGAGACACGGUCCAAACUCCUACGGGAGGCAGCAGUGAGGAAUAUUGGUCAAUGGGCGAGAGCCUGAACCAGCCAAGUAGCGUGAAGGAUGACUGCCCUAUGGGUUGUAAACUUCUUUUAUAAAGGAAUAAAGUCGGGUAUGGAUACCCGUUUGCAUGUACUUUAUGAAUAAGGAUCGGCUAACUCCGUGCCAGCAGCCGCGGUAAUACGGAGGAUCCGAGCGUUAUCCGGAUUUAUUGGGUUUAAAGGGAGCGUAGAUGGAUGUUUAAGUCAGUUGUGAAAGUUUGCGGCUCAACCGUAAAAUUGCAGUUGAUACUGGAUAUCUUGAGUGCAGUUGAGGCAGGCGGAAUUCGUGGUGUAGCGGUGAAAUGCUUAGAUAUCACGAAGAACUCCGAUUGCGAAGGCAGCCUGCUAAGCUGCAACUGACAUUGAGGCUCGAAAGUGUGGGUAUCAAACAGGAUUAGAUACCCUGGUAGUCCACACGGUAAACGAUGAAUACUCGCUGUUUGCGAUAUACAGCAAGCGGCCAAGCGAAAGCGUUAAGUAUUCCACCUGGGGAGUACGCCGGCAACGGUGAAACUCAAAGGAAUUGACGGGGGCCCGCACAAGCGGAGGAACAUGUGGUUUAAUUCGAUGAUACGCGAGGAGCCUUACCCGGGCUUAAAUUGCAGAUGAAUUACGGUGAAAGCCGUAAGCCGCAAGGCAUCUGUGAAGGUGCUGCAUGGUUGUCGUCAGCUCGUGCCGUGAGGUGUCGGCUUAAGUGCCAUAACGAGCGCAACCCUUGUUGUCAGUUACUAACAGGUUCCGCUGAGGACUCUGACAAGACUGCCAUCGUAAGAUGUGAGGAAGGUGGGGAUGACGUCAAAUCAGCACGGCCCUUACGUCCGGGGCUACACACGUGUUACAAUGGGGGGGUACAGAGGGCCGCUACCACGCGAGUGGAUGCCAAUCCCAAAAACCUCUCUCAGUUCGGACUGGAGUCUGCAACCCGACUCCACGAAGCUGGAUUCGCUAGUAAUCGCGCAUCAGCCACGGCGCGGUGAAUACGUUCCCGGGCCUUGUACACACCGCCCGUCAAGCCAUGGGAGCCGGGGGUACCUGAAGUGCGUAACCGCGAGGAGCGCCCUAGGGUAAAACUGGUGACUGGGGCU
rnacentral:rRNA from 1 species